CCCCUUUGCCCGUCCCCUGCAGUGGGAGCCGUCCCCUUCUCCAGCAGGAGAGAAACUUCGGUGGGAAGUUGUGGCAGCCGUGAUUGCGGCGAUACGGCCGCUAAUUGGGGCCGGCAGCGAUCUGCGGGCGGACGGCGUCACCUUCUGGCCGAGGCGGGCACCAUCCCGAGCACCGCCGGGGGUUCGGGGUGGAAAGUACGCGUCAGACAAAACAGUCAGGGUCGCAGGGCUGCUUCCCCCAGGGCAGCACGCUCACAUUAGGGGUGGAAAGAAGACAGCGAGGGGUCUGGGCAGGGCACUGUC
rnacentral:lncRNA from 1 species